AGUGAACGCUGGCGGUAGGCCUAACACAUGCAAGUCGAACGGCAGCACAGUAAGAGCUUGCUCUUACGGGUGGCGAGUGGCGGACGGGUGAGGAAUACAUCGGAAUCUACUUUUUCGUGGGGGAUAACGUAGGGAAACUUACGCUAAUACCGCAUACGACCUACGGGUGAAAGCAGCGGAUCUUCGGACCUUGCGCGAUUGAAUGAGCCGAUGUCGGAUUAGCUAGUUGGCGGGGUAAAGGCCCACCAAGGCGACGAUCCGUAGCUGGUCUGAGAGGAUGAUCAGCCACACUGGAACUGGGACACGGUCCAGACUCCUACGGGAGGCAGCAGUGGGGAAUAUUGGCCAAUGGGCGAAAGCCUGAUCCAGCCAUACCGCGUGGGUGAAGAAGGCCUUCGGGUUGUAAAGCCCUUUUGUUGGGAAAGAAAAGCAGCAGGUUAAUACCCCGCUGUUCUGACGGUACCAAAAGAAUAAGCACCGGCUAACUUCGU
rnacentral:rRNA from 1 species